GAUGAACGCUGGCGGCGUGCCUAAUACAUGCAGGUCGAGCGAACGGACGAGAAGCUUGCUUCUCUGAUGUUAGCGGCGGACGGGUGAGUAACACGUGGAUAACCUACCUAUAAGACUGGGAUAACUUCGGGAAACCGGAGCUAAUACCGGAUAAUAUUUUGAACCGCAUGGUUCAAAAGUGAAAGACGGUCUUGCUGUCACUUAUAGAUGGAUCCGCGCUGCAUUAGCUAGUUGGUAAGGUAACGGCUUACCAAGGCAACGAUGCAUAGCCGACCUGAGAGGGUGAUCGGCCACACUGGAACUGAGACCCGGUCCAGACUCCUACGGGAGGCAGCAGUAGGGAAUCUUACGCAAUGGGCGAAAGCCUGACGGAGCAACGCCGCGUGAGUGAUGAAGGUCUUCGGAUCGUAAAACUCUGUUAUUAGGGAAGAACAUAUGUGUAAGUAACUGUGCACAUCUUGACGGUACCUAAUCAGAAAGCCACGGCUAACUACGUG
rnacentral:rRNA from 1 species